rnacentral:lncRNA from 1 species
UCUGGUUUCGGAGGCUUUUCAGAAAGAAAAGAAAAAGACGGAAAAGAAAAAAGGAGAGAAAAGAGUAGGAAGAAAAUAGAAAGGAAAAAAAAGAAGAAAAAAAAGGAAAGGAAAAAAGUAGGAAGAAAAAAAGUAGGAAAAAAAGGAAAAGUUGGAAGAAAAUAGAAGAAAAAAUGAAGAAUAAAAGGAAGGAAAAAAGCAGGGAGAAAAUAGAAGAAAAAAGGAAAGAAAAAUGUAGGAAGAAAAUAAAAGAAGAAAAAUAAAUGACUAAAUAAGAAAAAAAAGAAGAAAGAAGAAAAGAAAAUGAAGAAAAUGGGGAAAGAGAAAGAGGAAAAGAGACCGAGAAGGAGAAACAUAAAUUAAAGGAAAAGGAAAAUAAGAAGAACCCCUUGAGCUGCUCCUACAAGGGGUGCAAGUGGGGGCCACAGUAUUUGAGAGCCUAUUUGAGCUUUUUAAAUGACAAAAUCAGGCUUUUUGGCAGCAGCAGCAGCAGGAUGAUGGAGAAGAGGAAGGAGCAGGAUGGAGGGGGCCCGGCCAGCGCUGCGAGCGGUUUUGGGGCAGCAUGGAGGAAGCUUUACAUUGUCCUCGUCCCCUGAUGCUGAUGAAUCCUCAUGUUGAAGCAGCAGCACCCUGUGGGCGGGGACCAUCCCUAUAAAACACUCGGGGUUUCCCUGGAGUGGGGAGCGCUUCCCGGGAUCUACGGCAUCGGGGUGGCUCAAGUCAACUGGGACAUCAAGUUUGGCCGAAGGUGCGGACGGCGGAGGUGGAGAAGGAGGAGGAGGAGGAUGAAGCCUCGGAGCACGGCGUGACCGGGCUGCGGGCUGCGAGCCAGGGCUUCCCCUCUGCUAGGCUCGGCUCGGUUCGGCUCCGCUAAGCCCGGCUCAGCUCGGCUCGGCUCGACCCGCCUCCCCCGGAGCCCUCGGCGUGCGGUGGGUGUGCGGGGGGGAGCAGCCGAGCUGGCGGCCAGCCCAGCCCCGGCUUCCCCGCCUCUAUAUAAACACCCGGGGACUUUCUCCGCCGCUCCUCAGUGCGAGGGGCCAUGCCCGCCGCCCGCCUCCCGCACGGCCGGGGAAAGUCUGGGGCUGACACCGCGGCGUGCGGAGCCCUGCGCUCCCGUGUGUGCAGACAGGGACCCCCACCGGCCU